UUAAUUGAACCUAUGCAUUAAAAGAGUUUUUCCUAGGUCAUUGGGUCUUUAUUUCUGAAGAUUCCUAUAUCAUGUAAAACUUUGAUUAAAUAAACGUGUUAUGCCUUCUCUUACUAACCUGCCUUUUGUUAUAGGAGUGUUGGCCAUGAUCCUUAUCAUAGGUGAGAAAAGAUGUCACCUUUCUGCCCCUAUAGUUUCUGGCCCCUAAAAUUGGAGUCGCUGAGACACCUAAUUUGCUCUGGAGCCUGUGGAAUAGAUCCUGGGACAACUGGCAAACAGCCAGCAAAGGAAAGCUCCUAUCUCCUCCAUUUGGUGAUCAGUGGAUGGAAAAUUACUAAAAGGAAACAUCAGAGAACUUGACGGUUAACCUUUGGAAAUACAAGCUUCAAAGAAAUAAUGAUCAUCUGAAAGAGAACUGUUUAGAAACUGGUCCGAUAAAAAGUCUUAAACCCUUUUUCCACAACACUUGGGAAAAAGCUUGAACUAUCUGAGCAGGUGGCCUCAACUUGUCCCAUUCACCAGAACUAGUUAGUAAGUCUUAAAUUAUCAGACCUGGCACAUAGCUAAAAGUUUUAGAAUGAAAGCUGUAAAAUCUGCUUCUAUCUAUAUGUUUAUAUUAUUAAAUAUAAUAUAGAUGUAUAUUUUUGCCUGGGUUUACUGGUUAUACAUGUUUGUGUUGCCUCUGUUAAAUGUUUAAGACCAUAAAAGUGUAAAUUCAACCUAGAGCAGAAUGCACACUAAAAAUAAAUUGCCUGAUGCAUGUCAGUCAUGGAGAAAAAAAGAGAGGAAAGAACCACGUUUAACUUUUUAGUUUCUUGGCUUCUGCAGUAUUUUUGGCACUUGCCUGAUUUACCAAUAACAACAAAAAAUACUUACGAUAGUGGCCAGCUUUGUUUAAUGUUUUAUAAAAUUUUCAUUAACAGUUCAAGCAUAAUUGUUAAGAAUAACUAAAUUAAAAGAAUAUAAGUUGUAUAAAAGUUUAAGUGAGUUUUUAUUAAUAAUUAUAAAAUAUGUCUGCUUUAAAAUAGCAUAAAAUCUUUUUGAUAACUUGAAACUUUGAAAUAAAAUUAAGUAAUAGAUACCCAUUAAAUGUUUGAGUCAUUUCAAAAUAAGUCGAAAUAUCAAAACAUUAAUUACUAAGCGUAAAUUUGUUUAUAUAUUUUGUCAUCUUGCUUUUAUAUGACAUAGAGAAAUGAAAUAUAUUUAGUCUGCUAAUAAACAUGAAAAAUUGAGGAAACAUGUUUCUAAAAAGUAUAAAAUGGUGAAUGCUGAUAUAAGACAGUUCAUAAUAUUUGCUAAUUUUCACCAGAAAUUAACUUUACUAAGAAUUUGAGAUUAGGCCAGCCAUGGUGGCUGAUGCCUGUAAUCCUAGCCCUUUGGGAGGCCGAGGUGGGUGGAUCACCUGAGGUCAGG